rnacentral:rRNA from 1 species
GGCGAACGCUGGCGGCGUGCUUAAUACAUGCAAGUCGAACGGAAAGGCCCUGCUUUUGUGGGGUGCUCGAGUGGCGAACGGGGGAGUAACACGUGAGUAACCUGCCCUUGACUUUGGGAUAACUUCAGGAAACUGGGGCUAAUACCGGAUAGGAGCUCCUGCUGCAUGUGGGGGGUUGGAAAGUUUCGGCGGUUGGGGAUGGACUCGCUGCUUAUCAGCUUGUUUGUCGGGUAGUGGCUUACCAAGGCUUUGACGGGUAGCCGGCCUGGGAGGGUGAACGGCGACAAGGGGACUGAGGGACGGACCAGAAGGCAACGGGAGGCAGCAGUGGAAAGCAUGGCAGAGCGGGCGGAAGCCAGAUGUGACAACGCCGCGUGCGGAAAGAUGGCUUACGGGUUGAAAACAGCUUUCGAAUGUGACGAAGCGUGAGUGACGGUAAUGGGUAAAGAAGCAACGGCUAACUACGUG